rnacentral:hammerhead_ribozyme from 1 species
GUUCAGCUGACGAGUUCUAAUUAGAACGAAACGCGUAUCCUGAAU